rnacentral:misc_RNA from 1 species
GAUGAAGAACGUAGCAAAUGCGAUACGUAAUGUGAAUUGCAGAAUUCAGUGAAUCAUCGAGUCUUUGAACGCACAUUGCGCCCCCUGGUAUUCCGGGGGGCAUGCCUGUCCGAGCGUCAUUGCUGCCCUCAAGCACGGCUUGUGUGUUGGGCCUCCGUCCUCCUCCCGGGGGACGGGCCCGAAAGGCAGCGGCGGCACCGCGUCCGGUCCUCGAGCGUAUGGGGCUUCGUCACCCGCACUUGUAGGCCCGGCCGGCGCUUGCCGACACAUCAAUCUUUUUUCCAGGUUGACCUCGGAUCAGGUAGGGAUACCCGCUGAACUUAAGCAUAUCAAUAAGCGGAGGA